rnacentral:rRNA from 1 species
UUUUAACUUUAAAAGUAGAAACUAAAUACAUGAUCCCUUUCCGAACUCAAAUGUAUUUCUAUCUUAACUAAAACUACUAUUUUUAUGGGAUUUUUAGGGUUGUUAAAA